rnacentral:rRNA from 1 species
UACGUAGGGCGCAAGCGUUGUCCGGAAUUAUUGGGCGUAAAGAGCUCGUAGGCGGUUUGUCGCGUCUGCUGUGAAAACCUGAGGCUCAACCUCGGGCUUGCAGUGGGUACGGGCAGACUAGAGUGCGGUAGGGGGUGACUGGAAUUCCUGGUGUAGCGGUGGAAUGCGCAGAUAUCAGGAGGAACACCGAUGGCGAAGGCAGGUCACUGGGCCGCAACUGACGCUGAGGAGCGAAAGCAUGGGGGAGCGAACAGG